GCCCUGGUGGCACAAUGCUUAAGUGCUCAGCUACUAACUGAAAGGGUGGUGGUUUGAACCCACCCAGCGGCU
rnacentral:tRNA from 1 species